GAACAUCAGACUCCAAGUUCUUCUGUUUUGGGACUCAGAAAUAAAACAGCAGGAAUACUAACUGUAAACCCCAUUAUGUGAAGGGCGAAAGCAGUUGAAAUAUUGACAUGUCUCUGCAGCAUGGGACUAUGAACAUCUAGAAUGAUGCUGGCAUCUGUUCAGCUUCCAGAGAGGUCUCAGGAAAUUUGCAAUCAUGGCAGAAGGCAAAGGGGGAGCAGGUAUGUCACAUGGUCAGAGCAGGAGCAAGAGAGCAAAUGGGGAAGUGCUACAUACUUUUAAGUGACCAGAUCUUGCAAGAACUCAUUAUCAUGAGGACAGUACCAAGGGGAUAGUACUAAACCAUUCAUGAGAAAUUUACCCCCAUGAUCCAGUCACUCCCACCACACCCACCUUCAACAUUGGGGAUUACAUUUCAAUAUGAAAUUUGAGUGGGACAACAUCCAAACUAUAUCAUCAGUCAUGGUCUCUUGCUUCUGGAGUAUCCCUGCUUACUGAGUAUCUGCCUUCAGGGUGCCGGUCAAAUAGCUGGAGUUCAGCCACUCUCUGAUGAAGGGAAAUCCACAUGGUUUUGAUGAUGAUGGCCUUUUGACAUUCAGCUCCCCCAUCUCUCUCCUAUCUUUCUCCAAACCCUGACAAUAUUGGGCACUCUGCUGACUCACUGUCUAAGCAACCCCGAGAGAAGUAAUCCCUAGCUUAGUGACAGGGACACAAACUGAGCAUCUUUACACUUUUUGAGCACUUUUCCUGGGUCUCUUUUCCCUGUAUUGUAGGAAAAAGCAACACUUUCAUGAGGUGAAAGGAGAAGUUAGCACCUCCCUAAAAAAUGACACCCCUUCUUUCUCCCAGUCCUCUUCUACUAUGAAAUUGGAAAGAAGGUGAUAGUGGACCCAGUAAGCCCACCUAGGAGGGUGUUGGGUCCCAAAUGUGGCAUGUUUCUGCCUUAAAAUGUGGAUAUGGGACACUUAAAAGUUCUUUGUUCUCAUCUUUAUGUCUUGGUAGUAAUUUUGCGAAAAUUAAGAAAAGUCCCACUUAGCACCUAACCUUCUGUUGUUAUAUCAAAUUUUGAUGUGCCCCCACAUGUAUUAUUUCACUUGAGUGUCAAAAUAACUGUAAAAUUUUAGGGUGAAUUUUAGCCCCAUUUUAUAGGGGGAGAAACUAAGGUCUAAAAAGUUAAGUGACUUGCACAAAACAUUAAUAAUAGAAUGUGGAUUUGAAAAUAGAAACCAAGUCUCUUGACUGUCUCUGCCUCCUGCUUUUUCAGACAUCAGACUAGACUGUGGGCCAAGACCAUAUAUUACCUAUUUAUUUAUCCUUAUACACCUGACAAAAAUGGCAUAUAUUCCUCAUCUAAUAACUAAAUGGAAGAGAAAAGAAAUCAACUUAUUUACAGAUUUUCAAUUAAAUCCCAGAACCUCAGAAUCAAAAGGGACAUUAAAAACCAUCUAAUCCAAUUCUCCAUCUGGUAGUUGAACCCUAUUCACAAGCCUAUUUUUCUUCCCAAUAUAGCUCUUUAGUCUUUUAAAUCCUAUAAUCAUAAAUUCUGUGCAUGCUCUUCUCUCAGCCAAGUACCUUCAGUAAAUUAAUAUAAUGAUUCCACAAGGGACAAGGUCCUGAAUCUUUUGUUGUCCAAAAUCAGCAACAGGCGGGCUAAAGGUAAGGAAAGAAAAAAAAAAAGAUGAGGAGGAGAAAGAAAGAGAGAGAAACUACACAAUGGAGGAGAGGGAUUCCAUUGAACUAAAAGACCUGGCAUCAUUUUCUGGAACAACUUCCAAAUAAGGGUUUUUGUACCAAAUUCACUAUCACUCUAAUAGCUGAAGCUACUCUUGUAUCUCCAAAGAUUAGACUCCAAAUGCAGCAU
rnacentral:lncRNA from 10 species